rnacentral:rRNA from 1 species
AAACCAACAGGGAUUGCCUCAGUAACGGCGAGUGAAGCGGCAAAAGCUCAAAUUUGAAACCCUCGGGAUUGUAAUUUGAAGAUUUGGCAUUGGAGAAAGCUAACCCAAGUUACUUGGAAUAGUACGUCAUAGAGGGUGACAACCCCGUCUGGCUAACCGUUCUCCAUGUAUUGCCUUAUCAAAGAGUCGAGUUGUUUGGGAAUGCAGCUCAAAGUGGGUGGUAAACUCCAUCUAAAGCUAAAUACUGGUGAGAGACCGAUAGCGAACAAGUACUGUGAAGGAAAGGUGAAAAGAACUUUGAAAAGAGAGUGAAAUAGUAUGUGAAAUUGUUGAUAGGGAAGGAAAUGAGUGGAGAGUGGUUUAGGUUUCAGCCUUCUUUCGAGGGGGUGCACUACCAACGCCGAGUCAUUGAUAGCGAGACAGGGGUUAUAAACGGACGGCACUUGUGCUAUUCUCCUAACCCCUCUACUGCCACCAACGACAUAAUCCACCCAUUUCACCCGUCUUGAAACACGGACCAA